AUUGAACGCUGGCGGCAUGCCUUACACAUGCAAGUCGAACGGUAACAGGUCUUCGGAUGCUGACGAGUGGCGAACGGGUGAGUAAUACAUCGGAACGUGCCCGAUCGUGGGGGAUAACGAAGCGAAAGCUUUGCUAAUACCGCAUACGAUCUACGGAUGAAAGCAGGGGACCGCAAGGCCUUGCGCGAACGGAGCGGCCGAUGGCAGAUUAGGUAGUUGGUGGGAUAAAAGCUUACCAAGCCGACGAUCUGUAGCUGGUCUGAGAGGACGACCAGCCACACUGGGACUGAGACACGGCCCAGACUCCUACGGGAGGCAGCAGUGGGGAAUUUUGGACAAUGGGCGAAAGCCUGAUCCAGCCAUGCCGCGUGCAGGAUGAAGGCCUUCGGGUUGUAAACUGCUUUUGUACAGAACGAAAAGACCCUGGUUAAUACCUGGGGUCCAUGACGGUACCGUAAGAAUAAGCACCGGCUAACUACGUGCCAGCCGCCGCAGUAA
rnacentral:rRNA from 1 species